rnacentral:pre_miRNA from 1 species
CAUGUACUCCCUCCGUCCGGAAAUACUUGUCAUCAAAAUGAAUAAAAGGGGAUGUAUCUAGAUGUAUUUUAGUUCUAGAUACAUCCCUUUUUGUCCAUUUUGAUGACAAGUAUUUUCGGACGGAGGGAGUAAUAC